UACGGAGGGUGCAAGCGUUAUCCGGAAUCACUGGGUUUAAAGGGUGCGUAGGUGGUAUCGUAAGUCAGAAGUGAAAGUUUGCGGCUUAACCGUAAAAUUGCUUUUGAUACUGCAAUACUUGAAUCAGGUUGAGGUUGGCGGAAUGUGGCAUGUAGCGGUGAAAUGCUUAGAUAUGCCAUAGAACACCAAUUGCGAAGGCAGCUGACUGGACCUGUAUUGACGCUGAGGCACGAAAGCGUGGGGAGCGAACAGG
rnacentral:rRNA from 1 species